CAUCAUAUCUUCACUUUAGAAAGAUCAUUCUGGCUUCAAAGUGAAGAAUGGACCAGAGAGAGACACCAUUGAAGGCAGGGAGGCUGGUUAGGCUGUUGCAGUAUUACAGGUGAGCAAUGGUAGAACUCUGAAACAUGGUAGCAGCAGUGGCAAUGCAGAGAUGCAGAGAAGGUGAACAAGAUAUUUACAGGUAGAAAUAACAGGACCCGUUGAAAGAUUAACCAGAGAAGGUAAUGGAGGCAGGUGGUAAAUAUAAUACCUGAGAUUUUGGCUCGAAUAUCUGGAUGAAAACCUGGCACAUUCAUUGAUAAAGAGAAUCUAGGUAGAGGAGUAGGUGUUUCCCUGGUUUUGCUAUUUGUAUAUUUGGGAGCAGGGUGAGUAAUAAGUUCAGUUCUGCUCAUGAUGAGUUUGAAUUGACAAUGGAGAUGUCAGGCUGAAUACAAGAAGGUCAAUGACAAAAUCAGUCUGGAGUUAGAGAUUUGGGAUUCAUCAGUGUACUGAUAGGAGCUGUAAAUGGGAGGGGGUGAGAGGCUCAGAAAUAAGAAGAAACAAGGAUGUUAGAAACCCAACCAUUUACAUUCUGCAAGAGGGAGAGCACUCCAGAAAAGAGGAAGAAAGGGAAUGCCCAGAGCUACAGAUGGAAAACCAGCAAGGAAUUCUCAAGUAGGGGGAAGUUAUCAUUUGUAUCAAAUACGGCCGAGAGUUCAUCCAAUGUAUUUUCAUUACAAUUCUGUUAUCCAAACUUCAAGUAUGUCACUAUAUGCGUUCAUUCAUUCACUCAUUAAAAUAUAUUUAGUGAGCCCUCACCCUAUUCCAGAUACUGUUCUGGGGCCUACAGUUAUAUAGCUAGUAAAAACCACAUAUAAGGUAUAUGAAAAUGUUAAACCAAAGAAAGAAAGAGAGUCCUGUCUUACUUUCUGUAAUUUGAAAAUCAGCAUUUGAGGGUUUCAGCUAACUUUUAUCAUCUAAUAACAUCUAACUUAUAUUUUGUUUUCUUCCCUAAAGGAAUAUUAGGAGAGACCCUGUCUAGUGGUAUCGUAAAUAUAUUGAAAUCCAAAUAUAGUAUGUUUCAUUCAUUUUCCUGAUCUCCUGGUAUAGCAAUAUGUGUGCUUGAUUUUUCUACUUCUUUGGAGAUGGAAUUGUUAGAAAAUCAACUUGUGAAACUUGUCAGACACUGGGAUUUUAGCCAAUUAAUUCCGCCCACAGGUUAUUAAAUAGCUAUUGAGUACAUGCCUUGUACCAGGCAUUGUUUUACCUAAAUACUAUGGUGGUCAAAACAAACAAGGUUCCCCACUUCUCAUAGAAGGUGGGGUAAGGUAGUACUUAAAAGCAUGGGCUUUGUUUAAAACGCUUUUCUGCCACUUACUAGUAAUUAUUAAAUCUUUUCCUGCCCCAACUUCAUCAUGAACUAAGGUUCAAUUUCAUCAUCUGCAAACUGGGAAUAAUUAUAGUAAACUGAUCACAUCAUUGUUAAGAGGUAAGUUUUAAAAAGGGUAAACUUGGAAUUCCCAUUAAAGCUGAGUGGUGACAAAUCUGAUUAGUAUCCAUGAGGUGCGGGUUCAGUCCCUGGUCUCGCUCAGUGGGUUAAUGAUCCGGCAUUGCCAUGAGCUGUACUGUAGGUCUCAGACUCGGCUCAGAUCCCUAAUUGCUAUGGCUGUGGCGCAGGCCAGUGGCUAUAGCUCCGAUUGGACCCCUAGCCUGGGAACUUAAAUAUGCCAUGGGUGCGGCCCUAAAAAGACAAAAUUAAUAGAUAAAAUUUUAAAAAUAAUUGAUAAAAAAACUAAAAGGGUAAAGUUAUUCUCAAUAUGUCAAAACAUUUAAAUUGGGAAUGAGGGAACUAGUAGGAUGUUAUAAAUAAGUCAAAAAUAAACAUACACAAUGCAAUAUAUAUGUAAUGGAAAUGCUGAAAUAAAUUUAUUAAUAGAUGCAAAACAGGUAUUAUUAGCAGAGUGAUAAUCAACUACAUUUUACUGGACAAUAGAGGUGACAUCUGAGCCAAGUAGGAAUUAAAUCACGAUAGGAGAGAAUAGGAAGGGGAGGAGAUCUGCAUGUAAGUCUGGAGAUGAGAGUAGAAUUUAGAACAUUUUUGGAUUGGAAAUUAGCCUUGUCUGAUGGACUGUAGACUGCAGUGAAAGGAGAAAUGGCCAGAAAGAAGUUGAAGGGAAGGUCUUAAAGACCCCUGAACAACAUGCUAGAAAUUUGGAUUUUAAGAACAAGGAAGAACAGUUGAACAAUUUGGUACAGAAAUUGGUAAGAAUUGAUUUGCAUUGUAACCAGGUCUUAGGGCUUCAAUGAAAGAGCUCUGGAAAGAAACAACACUGAAAGAAGGGAAAUGAUUUGGGCAUUUUUACAGCAAUUCAGGCAAGAGAUGGUGAAGGCCUAACCAGAGACUGAAAGGAGUGGUAGAGAGAUAGAAUCAAGAUAAUUUAUAGAGGACAUCUGGCUUAAUGAGUGAUGGCUUAUAAAGGGUAAGAGGGAGAAAUUCAAGCUCCAACUCAAGUUAUAACUUGGGCAUCUGAAGAGUUGGUGCGGUCACUGAGAAAACGAACACAGAAUGGGAAAUGAAUGUUGGAGAGGAAGAUAGUAAACAGUUUGGGGCGUGCAUAUGGAGUUUGAGCAGCCAGUGGGGCAUUAAAUGAAGGUAAUAAAAGUAGUUGCAUAUGAAUCAUAGGGAGUAGAGGCAGAGGUGGAGUCACUGAAUACAGGAAGGAAGUGAAGCUUGGUUUAGGAGCACUCACUCAGAGUAAGGAGAGAAGACCUAGGAAUACUGAAAUGGAACAGGGUGGGGUAGGGCAGAGAAAGUGCAGCUACCAGGGAGACAAGAGGGAACAAUUAAAUGGGUAGAUGGAGGAGAGCAGAAAUGGCAGCAAGAGUGUUUCAGGAACAAGACAGGAAGUGGCCAAAAGUGGUAGCAGAGUGCUCACCACACAGUAGGCACUGUUCUAAGUGAUAUAUGUAGCUCAUCACGUUCUCUCAGCGUUGCCAUACAAUAAAUACUGUUAUUAUCAUCUUCAUACUACAGAGAAGGAAAGCAAAACCAAGAAGUUAGAUAACCUGCUCAAAGCUAGCACGAGAAAGAGCCCUGAUUUAGAUUCAGGCUCUCUUGACUAGCAUUCAUGCUCUUAAACACUCUGCUUACUGUGUGGUCACACAUGAGAGGUCAGGUCUACAGAGUCUGAGAGGUACUCACUGGAUUUAACAAGACAGUUAUGAGCAACCUUGGUAAGAAGAGCAUUAGUUGUGUGGUAUAGAAAGGCCUAUUAGAGGAGAAGAGUGAAUGGGAAGCAGGUUUGUUUGUUUUUUGUUUUUUUGUUUUAAGCAGUUUAAUUGUAAAGAGAAGAUGAGAAGAUAGCUUAAUGAGAAGGGAUAAAGGGAGAUUGUGUUAUGUAUGUGUUAAGACGGAGGAGAGUUGACUUGAACAGCAAGAAACUCAGAGAGGAGUGGUUCAAGAUAGAGGGGAAGGAAGAAGUAACCAACAGGUGGAAAUUUUUGAGAAGGAGGUGGCAUAGGAUCCAGAGACCCCUCCCCAUGGGUUGUAUCAGAAGAAAGAAUGAAUAAGGAGGCAGAUCUCGUUAUAGAUUUGGGGACCAUAUUAGAGGGUGUUCCCGUCUGAUGGAGGACAGAAGUUCAUAUAUCAUUAGGCGGAUUGUAGGCGGUUGGUGGUCCAGUCAUGGCUAGAGAUUCAGAUCAGAAAGUCCAGAUACCCAUCAAAACAGUAUAGGUACAGCUGGCCAAUCAUUUCUCAGACCUCUUCUUAUCCACAGGCUCCUUGGGCCAUCAGCUUCUUGCUCAAGAAUUCCACAAGCCUAAACAUGGGGCCAUAGAUUUUUCCCAGUGGAGUCUUUCCUGCAGUCAUGAUUCACAGGAGUUGGAGGCCAGUGGAGGGUUCGGAGGUGGAAGUCUCUUUAUCACACCUGAACACACUUCACAAUGAGAGCACAUUCCUCCUGCAGUCAUUUUUUUAGAAGACUUACUGGAGGGCAAAUAUUUGUCUUAAUAACUUUGAAGG
rnacentral:lncRNA from 1 species